rnacentral:snRNA from 1 species
GUGCUCGCUUCGGCAGCAUAUAUACUAAAAUGGGAACCAUACAGAGAUUAGCACGGCCCCUGCGCAAGGAUGACAUGCAAAUUCGUGAAGUGUUCCAUAUCUUU